GUGCCAGCAGCCGCGGUAAUACGGAGGGUGCAAGCGUUAAUCGGAAUUACUGGGCGUAAAGCGCGCGUAGGUGGCUUGAUAAGCCGGUUGUGAAAGCCCCGGGCUCAACCUGGGAACGGCAUCCGGAACUGUCAGGCUAGAGUGCAGGAGAGGAAGGUAGAAUUCCCGGUGUAGCGGUGAAAUGCGUAGAGAUCGGGAGGAAUACCAGUGGCGAAGGCGGCCUUCUGGACUGACACUGACACUGAGGUGCGAAAGCGUGGGUAGCAAACAGGAUUAGAUACCCUGGUAGUCCACGCCGUAACGAUGUCGACCAGCCGUUGGGUGCCUAGAGCACUUUGUGGCGAAGUUACGCGAUAAGUCGACCGCCUGGGGAGUACGGCCGCAAGGUAAAACUCAAAUGAAUUGACGG
rnacentral:rRNA from 1 species